rnacentral:rRNA from 2 species
UAGGGAAUCUUCGGCAAUGGACGAAAGUCUGACCGAGCAACGCCGCGUGAGUGAAGAAGGUUUUCGGAUCGUAAAACUCUGUUGUUAGAGAAGAACAAGGACGUUAGUAACUGAACGUCCCCUGACGGUAUCUAACCAGAAAGCCACGGCUAACUACGUGCCAGCAGCCGCGGUAAUACGUAGGUGGCAAGCGUUGUCCGGAUUUAUUGGGCGUAAAGCGAGCGCAGGCGGUUUCUUAAGUCUGAUGUGAAAGCCCCCGGCUCAACCGGGGAGGGUCAUUGGAAACUGGGAGACUUGAGUGCAGAAGAGGAGAGUGGAAUUCCAUGUGUAGCGGUGAAAUGCGUAGAUAUAUUGAGGAACACCAGUGGCGAAGGCGGCUCUCUGGUCUGUAACUGACGCUGAGGCUCGAAAGCGUGGGGAGCAAACAGG